rnacentral:rRNA from 1 species
UACAGAGGGGGCAAGCGUUGUCCGGAAUUAUUGGGCGUAAAGAGCUCGUAGGCGGUGUGUCACGUCGGCCGUGAAAACCUGCAGCUUAACUGUGGGCGUGCGGUCGAUACGGGCAUCACUGGAGUUCGGCAGGGGAGACUGGAAUUCCUGGUGUAGCGGUGAAAUGCGCAGAUAUCAGGAGGAACACCGGUGGCGAAGGCGGGUCUCUGGGCCGAUACUGACGCUGAGGAGCGAAAGCGUGGGGAGCAAACAGG